UACGUAGGAGACGAGCGUUGUCCGGAAUUACUGGGCGUAAAGCGCGUGUAGGCGGAGGAGCAAGUCUGCUGUGAAAGCCCCUGGCUUAACCGGGGGGUGGUCGGUGGAAACUGCUCGGUCUGGAGGACGGUAGAGGUAGGUAGAAUUCCCGGUGUAGUGGUGAAAUGCGUAGAGAUCGGGAGGAAUACCUGUGGCGAAGGCGGCCUACUGGGCCGGACCUGACGCUGAGACGCGAAGGCGUGGGGAGCGAACGGG
rnacentral:rRNA from 1 species